GGAGUGAGUUUCAGGACAGCCAGGACUACACAGAGAAACCCUGUCUUGAAAGGGAAAAAAAAAAAAAAAAAAAAAAAAAAAAAGAAGUCUGAGAUAAAGUAAGUGCUCUCCUUGCUUCUGGUCAAGAGCUCCUCCUAACAGUCCUGCCACUCACCACUCUAAAUCCCAGGGAAUUCUGCAUGUGACUGGAAGUGCCAUGCCUGCCUUGGGUGGGGGCUCUUAAACUCUACCAUAGUGUUGGGUGAGGAGCUGCAUAGACCAGCGAGCUUAGGUCAUAAGGUCAGGAAGGACUAGGCAGAGCUUUGGUGACAAGGAUUGAGAGACAAAAGAUUUUAAGAAGUGGACAUUUCAUCUCCCUUUCAUAGAGGAACCAAGGAAAUUAUAAGAGGGUGUCUUCCUGCCGCGGGCAUGGUGGCACACGCCUUUAAUCCCAGCACUCAGAAGGCAGAGGCAGGCAGAUUUCUGAGUUUGAGACCAGCCUGGUCUACAGAGUGAGUUCCAGGACAGCCAGGGCUACACAGAGAAACCCUGUCUUGAAAAAAAAAAAAAAAAAAGAGGUGUGUCCUCUCAGUUGGGGGGUGGGGGCCGCAGGCUUUUCAAGAGCCAUGUGAAGCUAAGCAACAGAAGUCUUAAGUGUAGAGAAGAGUCUCCAGAUCAGUUCCUGUCCAGCAGAAGAGGGCACACUGUGGACAUUCGUCCUGGGCAUACCGAGCUAAUGCUGGCCUAAGAGUUAGGCCUUUCAGACUUGUUGGCCACAACCUUUCUCAGGAAAGAUGGAGGAAAGCUAUAACCUCUGCCUGGGAGCCCACACAUCUGUGCAAGGACGCUGUGUGGCAAGAUAGUCCUGCUCAGGGAGGAAGUCCUUUCCAGAAUUGCUGCCCUGUGUUCAGGCUCCCUGUCACCUGACCUAAUGUUAGUGACCCAGAGACUCUGGCAAGAAGGAAAUUCAUAUCAUAUUUUUAUGGUGUGAAACAGGAAUAAUCAAGCAGGGUUCAUGCACCAUUUUAUAGUCCUCAAAACUAGGCAGCUAUUAGGAAGGCAGUGUGGAGAAAUGAAAAUAAUUUGUGGGUGAGUAUUUUUUUAUUUUAAUUUUAUUUAAAUUUUAACUUUAAUAUCAUUAUGAAGUUACUUUAAUAAUAAUUUAAAAUUUUUCCUGUAUUAUGAAAAGUGCUUUUCCUGCAAAAAUGAGCUCUGAAUUAUAUUUGAUUUAGGUUAAUAUCAAUGCCCUGUACUCCUUGAGCCUCUGAGAAGAGGUGCUUUAGGAAGGUGGCAAGUGGCUUGGGUGGUAGCCAAAGGGUAGACAGUGCCCCUGCAGGUAAUUGAGUUUGAAAGGAACAGAGAUUGUGUGUUGCUCUAUUGCUUGGGAGGUGGCCUAGCUAAGGAGUGAGGGUAUGCUAUGAAGUCCAGAGAACUGGGCUAGGGUCCUGGAUCAGCCAUUGUGAGGCCUGGGACAGCAAGAAUGACCUGCUGUACUGGUUUGUGUAGGAUUGAGGGGAUCUCAGGACACGAGUCUUCCCUUUGUUAAAACUAGGAAGGUCUUAGACAAACUUGGACAAGUCGUCCAGCUCUUAAUGAGCUGCUGGACUGUUCCGUAUCCUCACUUCUGAGAUGCUGCGGAUGGCUCUGAGAAUCUUUGUAAGUGUGCUGCAAACUCCACUUCGUCCUACUUGGUGGGGAUGAUGGUCACUGCUUAGGUGGGGGUGGAUUCAGGAGAAGGGAAUGGGGGAAGGGUGGUUCUCCAUGGCUUUAAGACCUCAAAGCUCAAAAGCUUGUCUGGAUUAGCCCCACAGUCUACAUGUGGAGAGUUUAUAUUUAUGGGAACCAAAGAGGCAGCUCAGCGUUAGAGACCUAGAGAUCUGCCUAGCCUGUGAGGGUUUAGUCCUAGAAUCCAGAAAAAGAAACAGUUACAACCAGGUGCUGUGCCCCCUUCCUUCUGGGAGCAAAGUCUAAUAGGGCAGGCAGGGGUCAGUAAGGAAGUAGGAUCCUAGGAAAAUUAGGAAUCUGUGGGAGUGUCGUGUGUAGGGACAUGUUGUUAGUCCAGGAGAUUGGGAAAGGCUGGGAAGUGUCUUACAAACCCUCUGAGGUCGGGCAUAUGAACUGGGAGCCAAAGUGGGCUGAGGAAAGGCAGGAAACCUACAAGCUGGGUGCCUGGCAGAGGUGGGCUGUGUAUGUGGGGUUGGGGCUUGAGCAAGAGGAGAGCAUGAGGGAGGGGCUGAUGAGAUACACGGGUGCCUCACGGGAGGAGGGUGGUGAGUUUCUCAGGGCAGCCGGGAGCUGCGGUAAGGCCUGUCCACUCAGCAGCCCCUCACCCCACGACGGUUCU
rnacentral:lncRNA from 1 species